UGGGUCGAUGAUGAAGGGCCCCAGCCAAAGA
rnacentral:piRNA from 1 species